UUCCUUCGGGAUGACGUCAGUGGAUCCAGCGGCGAACGGGUGAGUAACACGUGGGCAACCUGCCCCUCAGACUGGGAUAACAUCGAGAAAUCGGUGCUAAUACCGGAUAAUUUUCGGGAUCGCAUGAUCCCGUUAUAAAAGAUGGCUUCGGCUAUCACUGGGGGAUGGGCCCGCGGCGCAUUAGCUAGUUGGUGAGGUAGAGGCUCACCAAGGCGACGAUGCGUAGCCGACCUGAGAGGGUGAUCGGCCACACUGGGACUGAGACACGGCCCAGACUCCUACGGGAGGCAGCAGUAGGGAAUCUUCCGCAAUGGACGAAAGUCUGACGGAGCAACGCCGCGUGAGUGAUGAAGGGUUUCGGCUCGUAAAGCUCUGUUGUUAGGGAAGAACAAGUAUCGUUCGAAUAGGGCGGUACCUUGACGGUACCUGACCAGAAAGCCACGGCUAACUACGUGCCAGCAGCCGCGGUAAUACGUAGGUGGCAAGCGUUGUCCGGAAUUAUUGGGCGUAAAGCGCGCGCAGGCGGUUUCUUAAGUCUGAUGUGAAAGCCCCCGGCUCAACCGGGGAGGGUCAUUGGAAACUGGGAGACUUGAGUGCAGAA
rnacentral:rRNA from 1 species